UUCUGAUUAGACAAUGACUAUCACGUUUCAUGUUCUGAUUGAAUGUCGACUCUAUAAACGAUGGAAUGCAUUGUUGUUGUCAUUAGUCAAUUAAAACAUGACAUAUGUUAGUCAUCGUCC
rfam:Glycine soja cultivar W05 scaffold1774_2, whole genome shotgun sequence.